ACCACAGCUAUACAGACAAGCUUGGUCAGGAAAACCUGACUGAGCAGAGCUUCUGCACCCGCUUUGUCUGCCAGAGGGACCCUUCCAGCACCUGCUGUGUGGAUGUCUUUGCAUUGCUGUUGAAAAGAUGCAAGAGCUCAUCUGUAUCUUUGAAAUGUCUGUCAGAAAAUGUGCUUAGCAUUGUCCAUCUUCAUUGUCUAACACAUCAGUAAUCCCCCAAAAUGGAAGUGGUAGGACUCCUGACCCUCGAGAGGACUGCUUGUGCUCAGAUGUGUGUGCAAGGAAGGUUCUUCUGGAAAUAUCCCUCUCCUGACCAGGAGUCACUUGGUAAGAGGCUUCCCUGUAAGCUCUAGCUCAAAGCUCCUCCUUCCUGCUCCUCUUGCGCCCUACCUGCUUGCAAGCCACCCUCCCCGACCUCUCCCUUCCUAGAACUCUGAGCCAUAGACAUGUGCCCAGAACAUUACCCUGAGAUUUUUCAAAGAAGACAGAGAACAAUAAGAAAAUGAAAACACACAAAUAUAAGUCUGUGGGGAUGGAAUUAAUUAAAAGGAAAAAAUAAUACUGAUGGAAUUAAUUAAAAGGAAAAAAUAAUACCAAGGCCAAGGAAGGAAGAGAGGGUAAGAAACAAAAACUCACUUGGAGCCAACAGAGAUCAUCUGAGGGAAAGCAAAGAAUGGAACCCAAAUGAAAGAUUCUGUGCAAGUCUAGGGAGAAGACUUGGUGAUGAGCAGGGAGAUAAAAGGACGCAGUGAUGAAUAAAACAGAGGGGAAAAUGAAAAUGCAACGCAAAGCCCCCUGGUUCUACAUACAAGCCAAGGUACAUCUGCCAAUAAAAGCAGGGAAAUGGGGAACAAAGGAUGUCAUAGCAACCUCAACGAACCCUGUUGUGCUACCGACUGCAGCGUCCCGGACAUCCACCAGGAAGCCUCCAGUGCCAAACCAGGUCUCUUCUUUAUUAAUAGACCAUCAUUUCUUUCUACUUUCUUGUGGUUUGAGUGGGGGAAAUACUGUGACAUUCAGAACGUAACAGGAAAGAUGAGUGUUUCACCAUCAAGACUUGGAACGCAGUGGAAAAUAAAAGAGAACUUUUGCAGGAAGCUAAUGGAGAUAUUGACAUGUGUGUCUGGAAAUCUAAACUUAGUAAAGUGUAAGGCAAGAACAGGCUUUCUCACUUUAUUUCUGUAUCUGAAAAGUUUCAGCGGCUGGUACCAUAUGAAUAUUUAUUAAUGCAUUGUGAAUCAGAACCUGUGAUUAUUACUCAAACUAUCUUUUUACCUUGCAAGCUUCAACUCAGAAGAAUAAAAACACAUCUGCUUUUGCUCUUCCCAUAUUUUAUUCAAUGUUUUAACAGCUUUGCUGUAAAUAUCUCAUCCAUUACGAUUUAGUUGUGACUAUAUCGGCUUCACGUCUCCUGUUUUAUUACUGUCAUCACAGUGAAACAACAUACUGUUAAUUCUGUUAACUAACAAGUUCAUUGUUUGAGCUAGUCAGCGAUCUCUCAUUUGUUGGGUCCACAUGUUAAAAGAGAAUUGGUUAUAAAUCAAAGAAGGGCCUGAGUGAGGCGUGUUCCCUUUGUUCAGAUGAGUGGGUCUCUAUUUGAGAUUGUCAUUUAAUAUGCUGUCAUGGAAGAAAUGACUAAAUCUGAAGAUAGGGCCAAAUCCAAUCGUAUUAGAUGAAGAGGCUGCACAACCCUCAAGGAAUUCAGCUCUAAAAUAUGCAAGCGUACUUAGAGCUGCAGAUUCUCUGCAUGAAACCUGUACUUCCUUUAUAAUUCCCAUUCAAUUUAGACCUUCCAAGCCUACCUUCUUCUAGAUCCUUACAGAGGAAACUUGCUAAUAUUUUUCCCUCUCAAUGUGAAAACUGAGUCAGUGAGGUCUGAUGGUUAAGAAUGUGGACUUCAAAUCCAGCAUGCUGGUUUGCUUUCCACUCUGCCAUUUCUGAGUUGUAGGGAUUUGAAUGAUUUAGUUAGCAACCUGAUCUGUAAAACGGGAGAGCAACAACACCUACCUCACUGGGUGGUUGUGACAAUUAAAUGAGGAAAUGUCUAUAUACUUCAGUAUCAGUCAGGACUCAGUAUAGGACAUCAGAAUCACUCCAGAUAUUUCAACCCUAUAAUGAGUUAAUUCAGGUAUCAGGUAUGUACCAGUUACCUACUACUAUGAUAAUACUGGGAAACACAUGCCUGAAUACACACACAAAUAUACAGCGGCUUAAAAUAAUGAGUUUGUAUUUAAAUCACAGACCUGCAAGUCAGAGACUUGGGCUACGCUGGGCUGUGCUGGGCUGGGCUGGGCAGUUCUUCUGGUGAUGCUAUGUUCGCUCUAUGUCUUGUUGGCUGUUGGCUGAUUACACCUGAGUUAAAUGUGUAAUUCUCCAUCGGGACAGCCUGGACUUUUUUGUGGCAGAGACAGAGGAACAAAAGGACCUCUUCUUGUGUGCGUGUGGUUGGUUAACAUCCCACUGGCCAAAGUGGGUUACAUGCUAGGUCCACAAGCCGUGGUUGGGAUAGAUAUAAUACCCCACACAGAGUGCCUGGUUCUUAGAAUUACCAACCAUCCUGGAUUUCCAGGGCUAGAGGAGUUUUCCAGGAAGCAGGAAUUUCAGUACAAAAACUGGGAACAUCAUAGACAAACUGGGACCAAUUGAUCACCCUGCUGGUGCUGCAAAUUUAUGCUGCAAGGGCACAGAGGCACUGAUGGCUGAAGAGUUGGGGCCUUAUAAAAUGGGCUGAGAAAUUACCUACCCAAUUGUUGGAAAAAUUGAAAGGGGGACUGUUUGUUUGCAGGUCAUGGCACUGUUGUUGUUGCUAUAAUGCUUCUCUUAUCAUUUUCACUGCCUCUCACCCACGAAACCAGCCACCAGACACUGGAACAUGGUGUCAGGCUGACAGGGAAUCUUUCUGUGAGUGCUUGCUUGCUCAUCUACUAUCAGUCACAAAUAACUCUCACCUUCCCAAUCUCCUAUGAGAAUAGUUAAUGAAGAGUCUAACUCCAACCCAGAACGCUGGCUACAGUGAAUCUGGAAAACAUGGUACCAUAUUAAUACGUCCAAAAAAGAGGGGAAAAUGAAGUGUGAGAAACUGGGUCCAAGCAUCUAAUGCAAAGAUUUAUGUGAACACCUGACUCAUGGAAGGCGCUAACAGUUGGGGUGGUAUUCAAAUUCAUUGAUAUCACCUGGUACUAAUUCUAUAGGUAUAUAGUAGCCAUG